UACGUAGGUGGCAAGCGUUGUCCGGAUUUACUGGGCGUAAAGGGUGCGUAGGCGGCGCGGUAAGUCGGGUGUGAAAUCUCGGAGCUUAACUCCGAAACUGCAUUCGAUACUGCCGUGCUUGAGGACUGGAGAGGAGACCGGAAUUUACGGUGUAGCGGUGAAAUGCGUAGAUAUCGGAAGGAACAUCAGUGGCGAAAGCGACUUCCUGGACCAGUACCGACGUUCAGGCACGAAAGCGUGGGGAGCAAACAGG
rnacentral:rRNA from 1 species